GACGAACGCUGGCGGCGGGCCUAACACAUGCAAGUCGAACGGAAAGGCCUCUUUCGGGGGGUACUCGAGUGGCGAACGGGUGAGUAACACGUGAGUAACUGGCUCUUGACUUGGGGAUAAGUUCAGGAAAGGGGGCCUAAUACCGGAUAGGAGCUACUGCUGCAUGGUGGGGGUUGGAAAGUUUCGGCGGUGGGGGAUGGACUCGCGGCUUAUCAGCUUGUUGGGGGGUUAGUCGCUUACCGAGGCUUUGACGGGUAGGCGGCCGGUGAGGGUGACCGGCCACACUGAGACUUACAGGCGGCCGAGGCUGCGAAGGUAGGCCGCUGUGCGGAAGACUGAACCAUCGAUGGCAGCCUUGUGCAGCAGCGCCGUGUGCGGGAUAGCGCUCUUCGUGUUGUAAAACGCCUUCGCUCAUGACGCAGCUUUGUGUGACGUUAGUAAGUAAAGAAGCACCGGCUAACUACGUG
rnacentral:rRNA from 1 species